ACAUCAAACAACAGAUCAGUGCAGCAA
rnacentral:sRNA from 1 species